rnacentral:rRNA from 1 species
AAAAUCUCGUGGAGGACCGAACCACGUUGGUGUUGAAAAACCAUGGGAUGAGCUGUGGAUAGCGGAGAAAUUCCAAUCGAACUCGGAGAUAGCUGGUUCUCCUCGAAAUAGCUUUAGGGCUAGCGUCGUGUAAUUGAGUAAUGGAGGUAGAGCACUGAAUGGGCUAGGGGCUAUAGUAGUUACCGAACCCUAUCAAACUCCGAAUGCCAUAUACUUGUAUCACGGCAGUCAGACUGCGAAUGAUAAGAUCCGUAGUCAAAAGGGAAACAGCCCAGACCAUCAGCUAAGGUCCCAAAGUGUAAGUUAAGUGGAAAAGGAUGUGGGAUUUCUAAGACAACUAGGAUGUUGGCUUAGAAGCAGCCACUCAUUUAAAGAGUGCGUAAUAGCUCACUAGUCAAGAGAUCCUGCGCCGAAGAUGUCCGGGGCUCAAACUUACCACCGAAGCUAUGGGUGUACACUAUGUGUACGCGGUAGAGGAGCUUUCUGUAUGGGUUGAAGUCGUACCGUAAGGAGCGGUGGACUGUACAGAAGUGAGAAUGCUGGCAUAAGUAGCGAGAAAUAAGUGAGAAUCUUAUUGG